rnacentral:rRNA from 1 species
AACGAACGCUGGCGGCGUGCUUAACACAUGCAAGUCGAGCGCGAAAGGGGGUUCGCCCCUGAGUAGAGCGGCAGACGGGUGAGUAACACGUGGGUAACCUACCCCGAAGCGGGGGAUAACUACUCGAAAGGGUGGCUAAUACCGCAUAAGACCACGUCCUUGCGGGGAUGGGGUCAAAGGCUUCGGCCACUUUGGGAGGGGCCCGCGUCCGAUUAGCUAGUUGGUGAGGUAACGGCUCACCAAGGCAACGAUCGGUAGCUGGUCUGAGAGGAUGAUCAGCCACACUGGUACUUAGACACGGACCAGACUCCUACGGGAGGCAGCAGUGGGGAAUAUUGCGCAAUGGGCGAAACCCUGAUGGAGCGACGCCGCGUGGAGGAUGACGGUCUUCGGAUUGUAAACUCCUGUCAUGAAAGAACAAGCGAUGCGGGUGAACAGCCUGCAAAGUUGAUAGUAUUUCAGGAGGAAGGGACAGCUAACUUCGUGCCAGCCGCCGCAGUAAGAC